UCGUGCUAGGCGGGGAGCUAGCGGUGCCCUGUACCCGCAAUCCGCUAUAGCGGGGCCGAAUUCCCCCUCGAGGGCCCAGGCCUGUUGGGACUGUCCCGUGUCUCGGCGUGGAGGGCUGGGUCCUGCGCGGCGGAGGCCCGCGAACCCCGCCAGGUCCGGGAGGAAGCAACGGUAAGCGGUCACCUCCGGGUGCCGCAGGGGCGCCUGGCCUGAGCCGGGAGCGGGCACAAGCCAGCGGGUACGGUUCGACAGGGGGUGCACGA
rnacentral:SRP_RNA from 1 species